rnacentral:rRNA from 1 species
CCCGCUGAACUUAAGCAUAUCAAUAAGCGGAGGAAAAGAAACUAACAAGGAUUCCCCUAGUAACUGCGAGUGAAGCGGGAAAAGCUCAAAUUUAAAAUCUGAUAGUCUUUGACUGUCCGAGUUGUAAUCUAGAGAAGUGUUACCCGCGCUGGACCAUGUACAAGUCUCCUGGAAUGGAGCGUCAUAGAGGGUGAGAAUCCCGUCUCUGACAUGGACUACCAGUGCUUUGUGGUAUGCUCUCAAAGAGUCGAGUUGUUUGGGAAUGCAGCUCAAAAUGGGUGGUAAAUUCCAUCUAAAGCUAAAUAUUGGCGAGAGACCGAUAGUGAACAAGUACCGUGAGGGAAAGAUGAAAAGAACUUUGGAAAGAGAGUUAAACAGUACGUGAAAUUGCUGAAAGGGAAACGCUUGAAGUCAGUCACGUUGGUUGGGGAUCAGCUUUACAUUUGUGAAGUGUACUUCCCAGUUGACGGGUCAGCAUCAAUUUUGACUGCUGGAGAAAGACUUGGGGAAUGUGGCAGCUUUUGUUGUGUUAUAGCCCCUUGUCGUAUACAACAGUUGGGAUUGAGGAAUUCAGCACGCCGCAAGGCCGAGUUUCGACUACGUUCGUGCUUAGGAUGCUGGCAUAAUGGCUUUAAUCGACCCGUCUUGAAACACGG